CGCGUAGGCGGCUUUAGUAAGUCUGGAGUGAAAGUCCUCUUUUCAAGGGAGGAAUUGCUUUGGAAACUAUAGAGCUUGAGUGCAGGAGAGGUUAUCGGAAUUCCCGGUGUAGCGGUGAAAUGCGUAGAUAUCGGGAGGAACAUCGGUGGCGAAGGCGGGUAACUGGACUGCAACUGACGCUGAGGCGCGAAAGUGUGGGGAGCAAACA
rnacentral:rRNA from 1 species